rnacentral:lncRNA from 9 species
AUGGGGCUGCCUCUCCGCAGGCUCAGAGAAGUGAGCCCCCCAGGACCAGCACAGCCUGGGGAUGGCCUGGCCACCCCAGGACCUGCCCUGGCGUUCCGCCCGCCUCUCCACGUCUUAGUCUGGCGCUUGGCUGUGGAUGCUUCCCUGGAUCCUCUCUGUGCUCCGCCUCUGCUUCCCGAGUUCAGCGGCCGCGGCAAGAAGGAAGACUUCAGAGGCCGGCCAGGAGAGCACCGGACGCAGGAGAGGGCGCUGCGAGCGCUGGCGCUGGGGCCAGGGAGCUCACGGCCCCUUCCCCGCAGAUCUCGGGCCUGCCGCCAUCACAGGGGUGGCACGGAGGUCGGAGGAAUGCUGGCCCUGCGCGGGAAGCCAGGCUCGCUGUUAAGCAACAGCACCAGACCUCUUUGUUUCUCCGCUUCUUCCAAAGUGGCAAAAGAUCAAGGCCCCGGCUUGAAACAACAAAAGGGAAAUAGCUUGCAGGCGCGCAUCUGGAGGCCAGAAGAGGUUUUAAUGGCCCUGCUUGGGAGGGAGCUGGGGAGGGGCCUGAGCACGGAUCCCACACCCUUCUCCACAUGCUCAGGACUCGGCUGGGCAUCCCACCCGCCGCUCAGGCGGCACCCACCUGGCGCAGCGCCUCCUUUGUGA